AAGGAGCCACAAUAAUAAUCUAAGCACUAAGGCUAUAGUAGCUAGAACUUAAAGAACAUGGCGGCAAGAAUAAUUUUUAGGGGAACUUACCAGGUAAUAGACAACCCGCAAAAAACAUCACCUUUAUUUAAAGUUUGUAUACCGCCGUCUAGGGCUCUCUUGAGAAGGGCCCGCUAACCAAAAGACAGGUCAUGGUGCAGCCAAUAUAAAGGACUAUAAGGUGAGUUACAAUAAAGAAUGUUUUCGGAAUUGAAAUGUAAAAGUGAUAAGAAGAUGGACUUAACAGUAAUUGCUAAAGAAAUAUGCUUUGAAGUAUAAAGAUUCUCGUGC
rnacentral:rRNA from 1 species